CACAUGGAUUCUAUGGUCAAUGUUGCCUCAUGGUCCAAGAUGACUGCAUGUGCUGUAGCCAUCACAUCUUCAUUCCAGAAAUGCAAGGCUCAUGAGGGCUCACCAGCUUUACUCACCACUUCACUCGCCAGGGCUGGACACACGGAAGGAGAUCCAUAGAUGCCCCUGAAUGAACUUUGGCGCCCCAUGGCCCAAGCCAGCAUCCAGUCCCUCUUGAGAAGAGGCGGAACCAUUUUGGAUUUAUGAUCCAAUCCUGCCACCUUUCACCCCACUUCCCCACACCUGGUUCUUUCUAGCCUUGUUUACUCCUCUCCAUAAAAGAAAAACUCCUCCUGCCUAACUCCUGACACGCUUGCAGGCCUUAUACUCAG